GCGAGGGUAUCCAAGCCUGGUCAACGGAGGCAGACUCAAGAUCUGCUCUUGCAGAAGUUCGCGGGUUCAAAUCCCUCCCCUCGCA
rnacentral:tRNA from 1 species